GGAAGGGCGAAUUGCGCGGGGGUGGUUUGCUACCACCAGAUUGGACAGGAGGAAAGGGAAAGCCGCGGUAAAAGAGCACUUUCAAAGCUCGAAAGAGAUGGACGAAUAGAUACACGUAGCUGACCAAUGGUGUAGAUCGAAGAGAGAAAUUCUAAAGAGAGAAAUUCCGCUGGCUACGCCACUGGUUGGCUCUACCAACCGAAAAGAGUGAGAGAAAAUGAGUGGCAAAGGAUAGAAGUUGGCACAGUGAUGAGAGCAAGAGGAAAAUGGGUGGACGGAAGAAACUACAGGGCGAGAGGGAGAAAUCGCGAGGGUUAAGUAGAGAGGGGGUUAGUUGCUGGUACUCAUGAAGCAGAGGAAAGUAGAAGGGGGUAAGAGGGAAAUGGAUCGGAUUGCGUGGUCGACACGAGUCUGGUUAGUAUGAGUGCAACGGAAUAAAAGAGAAUAAAAAUAAAAGAGCAAGAGAUAGAGAUGCGAUUAGGAAUGGAAGCAUAUAUAUAGGUAAAAAAAAGUAGCUGAGAAUAUAAGAAGGAUUGCAUCAGUGAACGAGAAAAUUUGAGGUAAGAUUUUGUUCGAGAGUUGCUUGACAGAUGACAACCGAUCGGACCACUGACGUCACAGAUCACUCGCUUGGUCGUAUGCUCACACGCACAAACGCGAUUUACUGCAGCACACAGGCACAUAGGAGAAAAAGAGAGAGAACGCGCGCGCGACGUGUCGUGCAUCACGCCGUAUUAUUUCCGUUUCGUGCACAUAGUACGUCAUACGUAUACGCUGCGAGAAAAAAAAGUACUGCGAACGAAAAGAAAAAAAGAGAAAAAAAAAGAAAAAUAAAGAGAGAGGAAAAAAACAGAAGAUAAAUGAAAAUAAAUAGAAAAUUAGAAAAAACGAAAUAAUAUAAAUAUUAUGAAACGGAAUAAGAGAAAAGUACGAGGAAAAGGAGAAAAAAUUUUUCAGUGAAAGUAAAUAGUAAGUAUUUACGAUGCUAACCGGCCGAUAGCCCCGCGCGACGCCUCUAUCUGGUUACCAUUACACUCGGAUGUAUGAAAUGCGCCAGCAGCAUACACCAUCCCCCCACAAUAGCCCUAUUUAUGAUUGGGCAAAAUUGCUUUCCAUGCGCAGAAUAAAAUCGCGCGCGAGCGAGGAAAAAUCCGCGGGGGUUAGAUGCAUACAAGUUACGCAACUUGUACCUAACUACUUCUAUCAUAAUAUUUUCUGAUUCUGAAACAAAAGUUUUAUAUCUAUUUCCAAGUUGUUUUAAUUAAUCAUUCAUGAUACAUGAUUUUUAUUCUUUUAAUUUUCUUUACAUCGAUUCACAAAAUUUGGUAAAAAUUAAAUAUGGCGAAAGGUCACAGUCAUGCGUAUAUGGAUCUCCACUUCCAUUUUCCAAGUAACCAAUCAGCAAAUGCGAACAGAUUUCAAAGAAAUUCCGUCAGCAGCGCUAUUCUCGUUUAAGGGAUGCAUUGUGUUUCAAGAAGUUAAAAUAUUCUUCGUUACAUUAAAAAAAAUAUUUAAUUGUUUUUCUUUUUGUAGUAUUCUACUAUUUUCUUAAGCUUGAUAUAUCAAUAUUAUCUAUAUAACCAAUAUUAUAAUCACAUAGCAAUGACAAUUAGUAGUUAAAAUGUUAUUAAUUUUUAAAAUAUGGCGUUGCUUGCUUUAUCAUAUAAGAAAUAAUUUUAUUCAACAAAUAAAAUCAAGUUGGUGCAAAAAAUGUAUAAUUUUUAUAUUAAAUAAUUUUAUUUUAUAUUAUUUUUAUUUUUUAUAUUUUAUUUUAUAUUAAAUAAUAUUAAGAAUAAUAUUAAAAUUUAUUAAAAUAUUUUAACACAAUUUAUAUUGUAAAUAUAUAAUUAUAUAUUAAUAAUUAUAUUUACUAAUUUUUUUUAUAAAUAAUAUAAGAAAGAUAUAUAUUGAUUGUAUAAAAAUUAUAAAAAAAAUAAAUAAAUCUUAAAUACAUUAAA